GCACAAAUUUGCAAUGCAAAGCUGAAUCAACCAUCUUGGGAAGUGAUAAACAUGAAGAAAUAUCCAAGAAAAUUAUAGAAAUGCCCUAACAAGUUUCUAUUUCUCAUUUUGUGCAUAAAUGCAUAUUCCAUAAAGGAGAGCCAAGAUACCCACCUUGGAGCCCAAGCUGAGGGCAGACACUGCCCCUGCCCCAAAGCCAAGCAUUAUAGGGAAUCUUAUCUGGUAACAAAGAGUUGAUGUGAAGUGAUGUUUGAAAAUGAGUGGGGUGGUUGUUUGUUGAAUCAGUGAGACAAUGAGUAGGGAAUGAGGGAGACUGUCUUUUAAUUGGUAAAGACCAGAGGUGCUAAUUGUUCUGCAAUUCCAUAGCAUUUCACUCAGCAUUCCACAAAAUCAAGCAUGCUCCCUCCUGAAAUAUUCACGUCGCCCCACUGAGAAACUGCCCCAGAGCACCCUGGGGAAGCUCAGCUUUGCAUUCCCACUUCUAUUAGACAGCCUUUGUGACACACACACCUUGUCCCUGUGAACAUGGUGAAUGGAAAUUAUCUUCUCCACAUUAACUUUGAAUACAUGGGCCAAGGAAAUGGCCCUAGGUGUAUACCAGUCCUGCUUCUUUCUCACUCCUUGGCUAGAG
rnacentral:lncRNA from 1 species